CAUAUUUUGCAUAAAAACAACUAAAUUAACUACAAUGAUAGAAAUAAGUAACUGAAUCUUUCUAGUUUGCUUUAAAAUCCUAUUCAAAAUUUUGUAUACUCUGUUUCACAAUCAGGAAAAAUAUUACACAUCUUGUAUUACUACCAACGAUAAUUUUAUUUGCAUAAUUGCACGUCAAAUUUUAUUAUCGUUGAAUAUAGUUUUGAAUUAAAAACGUUCACGACUUUUAUUUUAUAAUAGUUUACACCAAGAAAAAAUCUAAUCGUAAUUCUUGAACAGAUUUUGUUAAACGAGAUCUUAUUUUAAUUACGAGGGUUUCAGUCACCGAUUAAUAACUUUUUUGAAUUUUAUAAAAAGCUUUAUUUUCUUCGGAAAAAAAAAACAAAAUAUCGUGUUGAAAAGUUAAAAUUGAUAUUUUGUAAAUUCUCAGGUCACGUGAUCUUCGCCAAUCAUAACACAUUUUAUAUCAUCAUAUUUAACCUAGAGGUCACUGUAUGUCGUGUUCUCUAAUAUUACGUUAUAAUCGAUCGAAAGAGUACGCACGUAUACGUAUUCGGAGUGAUAUUUUAAUCUUAAUAAAUUUCGUAGUUUAACAAUUUAUCUUAUUUAAGUAUAAUCUUAUUUAAGUAUGACUAUCAAGUAAUAUAAAUUAUUCAAGUAUAACUAUCAGACGACGAGAUGGUGUGCAGUUCAUUUAUUUAUUCCUGAGAAAAUAAUGGUAAGUAAUAGGUUAGAUAUUACAUUUUUCGAUAAAGGAUUAAAAAAUAUCUAAUUCUAAACGAUAUUGUAUAUUUGGACGUUAACAAUUCUCAACAAAAUGGAUAAGAUUAGUAAAUUUCGAGAUUUUUACGAGUAGAAUAUAUAAAAGUAUUAAUAAACUCCAAUCUGAAUAUAUCAUAACCUCACAUCGUGGACAUAUGCUUUUAUAUAUUAUUUAUGGUAAUAUCCAUCGAUGGGCUAAUAAUAAAAAACUUAAUAAAUUAUCAGCAAAAAAUGAAUGUAGGAAAACUAAAAUUUUAUUCGUCAUUUAAAAGUUAUUCUUCUUUGAGUCGUACCAGAUUUGUUAAAACGUUUCUCAAUAUCAUUGAUUAACAAAGCUUAAUUAUUAGUUUGUAGUUGUUUUAUUAUUUUAAAUCUGCUAAACUCAAUACUAGGCUUAGUUUAAGAAUAGGUAGAUAAUAAUAAUAAUAAUUGCAAUAGUAAAAUAAUAAAAAUAACUAUGACUAAAUAUGACUAAAAAAAAUAAUAAUUAUAACUAUGACUACGGUAAUAAUAGUAAUAUGCGUCUCGAAGAUGGUAGGAAAUAAUGAAAAUAUAAUACAUUAUUGCACUUUUUAUUAAGGAAUAAUAAUUUGAGAACUUCUUUUUUACAAAUUGUUACAUUACAAAAUUAUUUAUCAAAAACAAUUAUCAAUAACAAUUAAAGAAAGUUGUACUUGAGAAGUCUAUCAUAAUAUUGUACAUAUUAAAAGUAAUGUUUUUUAUGUAACAUCUAAAAUAUAGUCUUUGUUAUGUGAUAGUUUGGAAAAAAAACAGCAAUUUCCAUCAUAUGCUAUUUCCCAUAGAUAUGUUAGAGUCAGAUAUUUGUUUCCUGUAUCUUUUCUUUUUUUUUUUUUUUUUUUUUUUUUUUUUUUUUUUUUUUUUUGUUAAUAUAAAUAAAUUGGGUUUAUAGAAAUUGGAGGUAUAGAAGAGGAAAGGGGAGCGUAACAUGUCUAACUCAAAUUCUACCAACGUAUUUUUCAGGAAAACCAUGAUUAUUAUUAAUCGUCACAAUAGAUCCGGAACAGCAUGUAUGAAAUGGAAACAAUAUUUUCUAUAAAAUCAUAAAAAUAAAUUCGAUGGAUAAAUGAUACAAUCGGCACGUCACUUGGACAUUUUUUUUAUAUGGGAUAAAAAAUGUACUGUCAAAAAAUUUUGAUCGAAUUUACGUAUUGAUCUGUUGUAAUUUAAACGGUUAAUAUUUGUAAUUUUUCUUUUGAUUAAUUGCUUACAAAAAAUAUGCUAAUAUAUUUUGAGACCUUACAUAUCAUGUUAUUCAUGUAAUUCUAGAAGGAUAAAAAUAAAAAUAGGGAAAGGAGAAGAAGUCAAGGCCAUCGGCUCAACUAGAAGUGCAAGAUAAUUAAAAGUAAAAAUAAAAAAAACAUUAUGUAUAUAGUAUAGGGAAAUAAAAAGAAAUUUGGACGAAAGCUAUUUCAGAAGUCUUUGUUUGUUUGUUUUGGUUCUGAAAAGAGAAGUAAAGACUGGUGACUGUAAAGUUUUGUUAAAUUAAGAUUGAAGAAUGAAAUAAUUUGGAGUUGAUGAAUUGUUGCAGUGAGCGAAAAGGUAGGAAAACAAUAACAUUUAGAUUUCAUUGGUACAUCGCGGAACUAAGUGGCGAUGUCAAGGUUUAGUGGGAAAGGGAUUUCACUGUUAAAAAUGAGUACAAAUAAUCUGAGAUAAGAACAGUCCGAUAAAUGGGAAAAACUAAAAGAAAUGAUAAAAGUAGUAUAGGACCAAUUAUUAGCAAGAAAUGAAAAGGAAGCAUAUAAUGACAUUGUAUUGAUCGAAUCAUAUAAGUAUAGAAUUAAAUUGAGAGUAGGAGUAGAGGAUGAUGGUGGG